CCUAGUCCCAGCCCUGUACACAGGUCUGCUUCACCAGCGAGGCACACUGGAUGUCAUGGGUCACCUCCAGACCCUGUGUGACAACAGCGAUCCUUCAACCCCGCCACUGCCUUAAGUCCUCUUUCUAAUGCCCUGUCACUCUACACCUUUCUACAGAAUGUCCACCAGAUCUCACAGGAGACAAGAGCUAUGUUGAUGAAGCUGAGAGAUUCUUCGCUGAUCCUCAUCAUUGGUUGACCUCAUUUCCUUAUACGUCAAUGCUGCCAACCCACCUGGUGUUCUUUGAUGUUCUGAAGAAGGAGGUCUCUGCAUUCUUGGAGGGGAAUAGAUUUAUGAGAAGUACAGAAAUAUUCCACAGUCACGUUCCUGAAGAACGAGUUGGAAAAAGCAUCCUAGUUUAUCAAAGGCACUGAACAGAAUGAGAAUACAUUUCUAAGAAGCACAAAGAUUUCUCUUACUCAUGUAUCUCAAGGACGAGUUUGAAGAAGCAUCCUAGUUUACAAAAUGCACUGAACAGAACCAUCUUGACCAUUGGCACAAGCCAUUGGGAAGUUAUAUCAAAAUGGAUCUGUAAUGUAGAGGAAUAAAUUAUAAU